rnacentral:rRNA from 1 species
GAUGAACGCUGGCGGCGUGCUUAACACAUGCAAGUCGAACGAAGCACUUUAUUUGAUUUCCUUCGGGACUGAUUAUUUUGUGACUGAGUGGCGGACGGGUGAGUAACGCGUGGGUAACCUGCCUUGUACAGGGGGAUAACAGUUGGAAACGGCUGCUAAUACCGCAUAAGCGCACAGCAUCGCAUGAUGCAGUGUGAAAAACUCCGGUGGUAUAAGAUGGACCCGCGUUGGAUUAGCUAGUUGGUGAGGUAACGGCCCACCAAGGCGACGAUCCAUAGCCGACCUGAGAGGGUGACCGGCCACAUUGGGACUGAGACACAGCCCAAACUCCUACGGGAGGCAGCAGUGGGGAAUAUUGCACAAUGGGCGAAAGCCUGAUGCAGCGACGCCGCGUGAGCGAAGAAGUAUUUCGGUAUGUAAAGCUCUAUCAGAAGGGAAGAUAAUGACGGUACCUGACGAAGAAGCACCGGCUAAAUACGUG